rnacentral:rRNA from 1 species
AGAGUUUGAUCAUGGCUCAGAUUGAACGCUGGCGGCAGGCCUAACACAUGCAAGUCGAACGGUAACAGGAAACAGCUUGCUGUUUCGCUGACGAGUGGCGGACGGGUGAGUAAUGUCUGGGAAACUGCCUGAUGGAGGGGGAUAACUACUGGAAACGGUAGCUAAUACCGCAUAACGUCGCAAGACCAAAGAGGGGGACCCUCGGGCCUCUUGCCAUCGGAUGUGCCCAGAUGGGAUUAGCUUGUUGGUGGGGUAACGGCUCACCAAGGCGACGAUCCCUAGCUGGUCUGAGAGGAUGACCAGCCACACUGGAACUGAGACACGGUCCAGACUCCUACGGGAGGCAGCAGUGGGGAAUAUUGCACAAUGGGCGCAAGCCUGAUGCAGCCAUGCCGCGUGUAUGAAGAAGGCCUUCGGGUUGUAAAGUACUUUCAGCGGGGAGGAAGGGAGUAAAGUUAAUACCUUUGCUCAUUGACGUUACCCGCAGAAGAAGCACCGGCUAACUCCGUGCCAGCAGCCGCGGUAAUACGGAGGGUGCAAGCGUUAAUCGGAAUUACUGGGCGUAAAGCGCACGCAGGCGGUUUGUUAAGUCAGACGUGAAAUCCCCGGGCUCAACCUGGGAACUGCAUCUGAUACUGGCAAGCUUGAGUCUCGUAGAGGGGGGUAGAAUUCCAGGUGUAGCGGUGAAAUGCGUAGAGAUCUGGAGGAAUACCGGUGGCGAAGGCGGCCCCCUGGACGAAGACUGACGCUCAGGUGCGAAAGCGUGGGGAGCAAACAGGAUUAGAUACCCUGGUAGUCCACGCCGUAAACGAUGUCGACUUGGAGGUUGUGCCCUUGAGGCGUGGCUUCCGGAGCUAACGCGUUAAGUCGACCGCCUGGGGAGUACGGCCGCAAGGUUAAAACUCAAAUGAAUUGACGGGGGCCCGCACAAGCGUGGAGCAUGUGGUUUAAUUCGAUGCAACGCGAAGAACCUUACCUGGUCUUGACAUCCACGGAAGUUUUCAGAGAUGAGAAUGUGCCUUCGGGAACCGUGAGACAGGUGCUGCAUGGCUGUCGUCAGCUCGUGUUGUGAAAUGUUGGGUUAAGUCCCGCAACGAGCGCAACCCUUAUCCUUUGUUGCCAGCGGUCCGGCCGGGAACUCAAAGGAGACUGCCAGUGAUAAACUGGAGGAAGGUGGGGAUGACGUCAAGUCAUCAUGGCCCUUACGACCAGGGCUACACACGUGCUACAAUGGCGCAUACAAAGAGAAGCGACCUCGCGAGAGCAAGCGGACCUCAUAAAGUGCGUCGUAGUCCGGAUUGGAGUCUGCAACUCGACUCCAUGAAGUCGGAAUCGCUAGUAAUCGUGGAUCAGAAUGCCACGGUGAAUACGUUCCCGGGCCUUGUACACACCGCCCGUCACACCAUGGGAGUGGGUUGCAAAAGAAGUAGGUAGCUUAACCUUCGGGAGGGCGCUUACCACUUUGUGAUUCAUGACUGGGGUGAAGUCGAAACAAGGUAACCGUAGGGGAACCUGCGGUUG